rnacentral:pre_miRNA from 1 species
CCAGUGUUCAGACUACCUGUUCAGGAGGCUAUAAAGGUGUACAGUAGUCUGCACAUUGGUU